CGCGGGGGUGGCUUUUUACCUCCUGGGUGGCAACAGGUCCCCGGGUGGCAGGAGUAAGAAGACUCGCACGAGCAGCAAAGCAGCGGCAGAAGGAAGAAGUUGCCGGGAAGUAAGUUGCCUUCUUGGCCAGCGCCAGGCAGAUUCCCCACCUCAGGGAAGGGAAGGCCUGCUGCUUCACCAAGGGGACUGAAACUUAAUCUUCCUUCAAUCUCACUCUCUGAAGAGAAAACAGGAUAAACAGAGGGAAACAAAAGUGACUGAGUCCUAAUAGGAUUUUGUGCUUUGUUUAAGCCUUGCCCGUAUAUAUAUGGCCUGGGACUAAAAUAAAUGGAUGACAAGGCCAGAAAUUCAAAUGAGAUCCACGGUGUGAUCCAUGCACACACUUUGUACACAUUGCCGGAUUUACUAUUGUUGCCACAGAAGUUCCCAAUAGUGUUUCACUUCAAAUUGCUUUCUGUCUGCCUGUACCCAUUACAGAGGGAAAAAGCAAUGCCCUCUUGGCCUGUUUCAUAAUAUACAUGAGGGAAUGUUUCUUCUUCAUUGUCCUAUAAACAUCUAACUACAAAUACCCUUCAGGGGCCCUUUUUCCACCUUGUACAUACGCUGCUGACAUUAAUUGGGUAACAGUGCUGUCACCCAAUUAAAUACUUUUUCACUGCAUAAGUGUUCAUCAAUUAAGCAAGUGAUUGAGAGCUAAAUCUCAUUCUUAGUUUCAACUAGAAUCAACCCGUUUAAUGAAUGGGACUUACAUUAAUGUUUACUGAUUGCAUUCUUAAUGACUGAAUAGACCUACUGUAGCUGGCACUAAGAAUUAGCCCUAAAUUAUAUGAAUCCCUAUAUUUAUUUAUUUACCGAGUCCCCUCGGGGAGAAGGGCGGGGUAUAAAUGCAUGUAAUAAAUAAAUAAAAAAAAUAUUUAUUCCUU